GAGGGGGCAGCCGGCAGCCUGAGAUCGCUGCCCUUCGCAGUACUCGGGAUGCUGCCAGCUCGGGGACGGUGACCCGGACUCCGUUCCUGCUCCUCCUCGCCCCUGGCUGGACAGGACCUGGGAACCCCGAGGAGCACCGGGAGCCUGUGCUCUGUGAUCUGCAGCAGCCAUCCCCAGUGCCCAGAGCAAUCCCCAGCGCCCAGACCCGGCGGCCACUCCCAGGAGAGACUUUCUGGAUUUGUCAUCUCUGCAGAGUGGUGAAAGGGUUUUGUUGUCAUCUGGUGUUGUUCAUUUUUUGGUGCUGGAGAGUGUUUUGUUUGUUAAAUAAACAGGUUCUUUUCUCACUUC